GGUGAAGCUGAGACAUGAAACCCAAUCUUCCCAGAGCCUCAGCAGGCUUGUCCCUUUCCAGUACGAAUGUUCCCUCGUAAUUUUUAUGAGUCUUCAGGGGAAGAUGAGAACUAGCCCACUUGAAGGUGCAGCAUGUUUGCCCAGGCUCUAUGGCACAGGAGAGUUCAGGCCGACUUCCUCACCAUGUAACGAUGCUACUAGUACUUCCAUUUUACUGAUGAAGAAGCUGAGGCUGGUGGAGAAUAAGCAACCUGUUCAAUGUCACAUGUUUGGGAAGUGAAUUCAAAUCACUGUGAUUCCAAAGCCCAUCUCUUGAGAUUGGCUUGUUUUUGACCACACCUCCUGGGUGCACAGCUAAACCUCAUGUCCUAGUCUCUUUAGCAGUUAGGUGGGGCCAAGAAACAAGAGUCCUGGCCAAUGGCAUAUGCCUGCUGCUUCCGGGUUUGGCUUGUGGACACUGUCUGUAAUCAGUACUUCAUAUUUUCUCUUCUGCUGUUGGAUGACUAGAUGCCAAUGUCCAAGACCUAGAAAGUCACAUGUUGAGGAUAGCAGAGGCUCUGUCACCUCCAGUCCCUGAGUGACUUGUGAAAUCAAGCACCUUCUCUAGCCAGCAACUUCUCUUUAAUUAAAAACUGU
rnacentral:lncRNA from 1 species